rnacentral:rRNA from 1 species
UACAGAGGCCUCGAGCGUUAGGCGGAAUCACUGGGCUUAAAGCGUGUGUAGGCGGACUUCUAAGUACCUUGUGAAAUCCCACGGCUCACCCGUGGAACUGCUUGGUAUACUGGUUGUCUUGAGCCUUCUAGGGGCGAGUGGAACAAAUGGUGGAGCGGUGAAAUGCGUAGAUAUCAUUUGGAACGCCAAUGGUGAAAACAACUCGCUGGGGAAGUGCUGACGCUGAGACACGAAAGCGUGGGUAGCAAACAGG